rnacentral:lncRNA from 1 species
AAAAAAUGCAUGGAGACUGCCACUGAAAUGCCUUUUCAGAGAAAAAGAUAAAACCUGGAACCACAUGGCAAUUUUUGGCUCUCAACCCCAUGUCAUGAUUUGGAGUCUGGAGGCCUCCAUUUCUGGAUCACACAGAAUCCAGGUCCUGAAUCCAGGGUCAGCUCACGCUUCGUGUUACAUGGUAGGUGGGAUUUUUUUUUUUGGUGCAGUAAGAGACAGCUACAGUUGUCUGGGAUUUGGGUGGCACAACGUAAGGUCUCGUGACCAAGAACGAGCAGGAUCCAGUUAAAUCCAGGUUUUACAUUUUCCCCGUGUAAGAAAGUAAGGCUUCGACAUUUCCUGUCUGCGAAGUGGUGCAGUUUAUCUUUAAGGAGGCUAGAGAAAUAAGAAAUGAGUCUCACGUUGCAUGGGUGACAUCACUGGCUUUUGGCUCCGUGCUCUGUAUUCUCUGUCUGUAGGCUUUAGCCAAGGCUGCAGGGCUGAGUGUUUGAACAAGGCAAGAUUCCCAGGUGUACGGAAGAUUGGAUUCACUCUUAUUUGGGUUAAAAAACGGUGAAAUGAGAUUUCUAAAGCUCACGGACUCCAGCUCGCCUUCUGUUGCUUUUGAUUUCUACAAGAUGGGUGAGUUAUUCCCAGCAGAGAGAAAGGGAGUGGAAAUUUAAGGAGCAAAAAAAAAAAAAAAAAAAAAAUGUCUGAAUAUAUAUCUGCUGAUGCCGGGGAUACAGUUCACAUGAAGCUGCUGAGCUAAAACCCUCAGCCCCUACGUGGAGAGCAGGCCAUAUGGCAGAGAAAUGGUGCAGACCGAAAGCUGUUGACAACUGUUAGGGGCUGCUUUCCCCUCCCCGUGUAAGGUGUGUAGCUUUUUUUCCUCCCCCCCCCCCCCCCCCCCCCGGUUUGUUUUGGUUUGAUUUCCCCCGACCUCCCCUCCCCGUUCCCGAGCAUCCUCGCAACCAGCCAUCGCUCUGCCUGCCUGCCUUCAUCUUGCAGAUGGUUAAUGUGCCCCUGUGUUAGGAAAACUGUGCACAACAAACCGAGGCGGCGGUGACGAAGGAAGAAGCCGUUCAGAUACCGGCGGAAGAGGGGUGGAAGAAGGAUGCUGGGGCCGAGGACCGCUGCCAGAGCUGCCUAGCGGGAGGUGCGCGCUCCCCGCUCCGUGGCAGCGCAUCUGGAGGCCCCCGCGGCUCCCUUGGUGCCUCUCGCCCUGUCUGGGUGCAGACAGCCACUGUACUUGCUGCCACAGCAGGGAUUUGGGGUGCUUGGGCUACGGCUGGCCAGGGAAGGGCUCAUUGCACGAGGCUGCCCUGAUGCCAGCGCAGACAACGGGACCAGCUGAGCGAAUGGUGAGGCUGGCAGAGAGGAGCUGAGCUGCCUUGGAGAGGAGCUGAGGUGUCUCGGAGAGGAGCUGAGGUGUCUCGGAAGCCAGGAUGCCGGCUGAAGUCUGCUAAGGGAGAAACCUGUGCAUGCCUGCAUUCCCAGCCACAGCCGGGGAGCUUGUGUUUCAGCCGCGAUUUAAAGCAGCAGCAGCAGCAGCAACAACAGAUUGCUCGCCCUCCUGCUCCCUCCCUUUCGACCCCGCUUUCAACCCAAGCCAGCGAGCGACCAUCCGGAUGCUGCUCUUGCUGGGCUGCUGACAAAGACGAGGCAAGGCACCUCUCCUGAACCCGGGCCGGCCGCCCGCCUGCCUCAACGGGGGACACUGCUGCCUGGCGAACUUUUCUGUCCUGCGAUGCUGGGCUGAAGCCCCAGGUCUGCAAGCCAUCCCUCCCGCAUCUCCCAGCUGGUCAGACUGAAAGAGAUUAAUGGACUGAUCAAACAGCCGUAGCUUUCGAGCCUCGUCGGGGGGGGGGGGUUGCUCCUUCAGCCCCCACAGCUCAGGUGCUCGUGGCGAGGCCAAGAGGACGCCUUUGUAUAGGCGGGUCGCCGGCUCGCUGGAA